rnacentral:rRNA from 1 species
AUUGAACGCUGGCGGCAGGCCUAACACAUGCAAGUCGAACGAGAGGCGGACGGGUGGGUAAUGUCUGGGAAACUGACUGAGGGAGGGGGAUAACUACUGGAAACGGUAGCUAAUAACGCAUACAAUAGGAUGGGCCCGGAUGGGAUUAGCUUGUUGGUGGGGUAACGGCUCACCAAGGCGAGGAUCCCUAGCUGGUCUGAGAGGAUGACCAGCCACACUGGAACUGAGACACGGUCCAGACUCCUACGGGAGGCAGCAGUGGGGAAUAUUGCACAAUGGGCGCAAGCCUGAUGCAGCCAUGCCGCGUGUAUGAAGAAGGCCUUCGGGUUGUAAAGCACUUUCAGCGGGGAGGCGUUACCCGCAGAAGAAGCACCGGCUAACUCCGUGCCAGCAGCCGCGGUAAUAC